ACCACAUCUCGAACAAGUGCCUAAAAUCCAGCUCCUCGCCCCAGAUCUUGAAUGGCAAUGGACUGGCAGAGGUGCUGAGCACUGGCAAGUGGGGUUAGUGGGGAGGGCAUUGCACUGCCACUCAAAAGACCUGGGUUCAAUUCCUGGCACAACCGCAGACUCCGUGUGUGACCCUAGACAAGUCAAUCUUCCCUGGCCCCCUUCCUCGUCCGCACAAUGGGUGACAGCAUUCCCUGCUGUACAGGAAUGCUAGAGGACAAGCACAUUAGCAACUGGGAGGUGCCCAGAAGUCACAGUGAUGGGAGCCACAUAAAUUCCUAGAUAGAGCCACAGAUCCCACUGAAGGCAAUGGGAGCUGGGGUGGCUCAGCACAGCUGAAAACCAGGCCACUUGCACAUACAUGCUGGGUGUGGGAGCUCCCGGGCUGGCACCCAGGACUGGAAGAAUUGGCUUUUGCUUGAGCGGCACUUAUCAGAUCAAAUAAUGCUUGUUCAUGGUGUUAUAUAACAGACCAGCGCUAAGGGUGUGCAACAUCUCACACGGCAAGUCUGUGCACCGCCUGGCAGCACAAGCUUCAGUGGGCUGGCAGCAGAGAGAACCCGGGAGCGAUUCCUCCUCCAGGCCAGGCUGGCCAGAGACAGACCCCGCGCAGGCGAACAGCGUGGGGAAGAGAAGGGCCGACAGGGGCAUGUCGCGCUUUCCAAAUUAAGAACAAGUCUGGCCAGGAUCCAGUUUCCAGCUGCAUCCCACAGGAGACUCGCAGCCUGACUCACUGCACUCUAGAUGAGCGCUGUUCAAAGCCAGAAGCACGGUGCUGCUGAUCAAGCCAUAGGUUGCAUCUGAAGAAGUGGGUUUUUUACCCACAAAAGCUGCUGCCCAAAUAAAUCUGUUAGUCUUUAAGGUGC